AACCUGCCUUAUAGUGGGGGAUAGCCUUUCGAAAGGAAGAUUAAUACCGCAUAAGAUUGUAGUAUCGCAUGAUAUAGCAAUUAAAGGAGCAAUCCGCUAUAAGAUGGACCCGCGUCGCAUUAGCUAGUUGGUGAGGUGAUGGCUCACCAAGGCGACGAUGCGUAGCCGACCUGAGAGGGUGAUCGGCCACAUUGGGACUGAGACACGGCCCAGACUCCUACGGGAGGCAGCAUG
rnacentral:rRNA from 1 species